CGUCGCCAGUCCGGCUCACGGCGCGUGGCCGGCCCAGGGUAGCUUCCCAAAGAUGAAACUGUGGCCUCUCUCAGCCGAACCCCACUCAGAGAUCCCCGCUGACCCAUCCCCGCCCUCCUGCGACCCCUGCUUGGUUCCCAGAAAGGACAGCGACCUCCAACCAGCCCUCGCCCUCCGCAGGUCUCCGUCUCAGGUUUCAAAAGGAGCGCGCCCCCUUAGGCCCGCCCCUCACUUCCGGCCUGUAAACGCGUAGGUCCCACCGAUCUCGCGAUAGCGCGUCUUCUCGCCGCUGGCGCUCACCCUGGGCAUCCUCGCCUACGUGUUGGUUGAGGUUGGCUGAGGUCGGCUGCUCUGUUGGCGCUUGGGAUCGGGGCUUUCCCCCAGGCCCAUCACGUGGCAGCAUCGACUGGACUCUUAAGGCCACCGGCUCCUUUAAGUCCACCCGUCCCUGAAGGUUCCUAUCGAGAGGCUAGGCGUAGGGAACCGCCUUCAACCCUGUGCCCACGGUCGUGUUGUGCUGCGCACGAGUGAUAAGGACUCAGACAUCCUAAUGAUUGUUCCAGGCUCUCACUGGGUGCCGGACACCGGGCUCCACACACGUCUUCUCAAUGAAUACCCACAAUAACCCUGAGAGAAAGGCGUGGUUUUUUACCCUCGUUAUACAAUUGGGGAAACUGAGGCUCAAAAGAGUGAAGGAACCUGCUGAGGGUCACAGAAAAGGAUGCGGCCGAAACUCGAAGUCAGUCUGGCUGCAGCUCUAAGGCCUCGUUACUGUCGUAGAGCAGUUUGUCAAGAAGUCCUUCGGUUCCUAGAUUUCUAGAGGACGCUGGAGUUCAUUGUGAAGUGCCGGGGCUUUGGGUCCACACAGAUACAGCUGCCACUGGGAUCAUACAGUGUGCUCUCAUCUGGAACUUCCCACAUCUCCACGUGCCCUCACCUUCAGUGAGAGUCUGAGAAGAAGCCGGGUGGGGUUGCUGCCCACAUGGUCGGGGCUGCUGCCAAUGCCACUCAUCUCACCGUCACUUGCUGCCUCUCUGCCUGCCCCCUGGUCCAUGGUUCUCUGACAUCUCUCUCUCCUUGAGGACUGUCCACUGAGAGGUCUGGAAACAAUGACACUCCAGGAACAAUGACACUCCAGAAACAAUGACACUCCAGGAACAAUGACACUCCAGAAACAAUGACACUCCAGGAACAAUGAGCACAUCUAGCACCCAGAUCUUGGCUUCUACACAUCAUUCUCUAUUAAAAGAAAGAAGCAUCCCUUGGAGCAAUGGCUGAUUCCAGAGCUGUGGCAGAGAAAUUACAAGAUAAGCCUGGAACAUCUUGCUGUGACAGAAAGUAAGCAAGUGCUCAAAGAAUUAUGGCAAUAGAAACCAGCUUGGCAACUGGACAAAAUCUGGGAAAUUGAGCAUCAAAAUAAAUAAUGAGGUAAUGAGGAAAACACUCAACAUCUGUAAUAUUGCUGUCAAAGUUGCAUAACCUACAUCUAAUCAUGAGGAAACAACACAUAAGCCAAAAUUAAGGGCCAUUCUACAAUAGCACUGUACUAUGCUUCUAAAUUGUCCUGGUCAUGAAAGCAAAGGAAAGGCUUAGGAAUCAUCUCAGACAGAAGGAGACUGGAAAGACGUGGCAACUAAAUGCAAUGAAUAAUCCUAGACUGGAUCCUUUGGUUAUAAAGGACAGCAUUGGGCCAAUUGAUGAAAGUCCAGUAAGGUCUGGGGGUUAUAUUGAACUAAUGUAUCAAUGUUCAUUUCCUGAUUGUGAGCAUUGUGUUAGAUUAUGAAGGAGGAUGUCCUCAUUUGUAGGAAAUAUAUAUUAAAAUAUUAGGGAGUCACCGGGCUCGGUGGCUCACGCUUGUAAUCCCAGCACUUUGGGAGGCCGAAGUGGGUGGAUCACGAGGUCAGGAGAUCGAGACCAUCCUGGCUAACACGGUGAAACCCCGUCUCUACUAAAAACAUUAAAAAAAAUUAGCUGGGCGUGGUGGCGGGUGCCUGUAGUCCCGGCUACUCAGGAGGUUGAGGCAGGAGAAUGGCGUGAACCCGGGAGGUGGAGCUUGCAGUGAGCCGAGAUCGCACCACUGCACUCUAGCCUGGGAGACAGAGAGAGACUCCGUCUCAAAUAAAAUAAAAUAAAAUAAAAAUAAUAAAAUAAAAUAAAAUAAUAUAAAAUAAAAUAAAAUAUUAGGGAGUAAUGAGGCAUCAUGGAGGCAACUUACUCAUAAGUGGUUCAGGAAAGGGGGAAAUUCUUUGUAUAUCAUUGUAACUUUUCUAUACCGUUGAAAUUAUUUCAAAAGAAAAAGACAAGGAAGGAGUGAAUGAAAUCCCUGAGGCAGUGGAGAAUGAGAGGAGGUUGAGGCAGUGCAAUAUCAACCACUGACACCAAAGGGUUCCAUAUGUGUAAGGAGAGGGCAGCUAAUAAUGUGUAAUAUUGCAAAAAGACAGAAGAGAAUUUUUAAAAAGGUAUUAAACUAUUUACAAAUUUUCUACAUUAUUAAUCAUGGCAGCAUCUUCAUACAUGUGCAAUGCAAUGGAAAAUAAACCCAUUAUUCAUUCACAGACAAUACUGAAUGUGCAUAUGGAUUUGGCUUCCGCAUGGAAGCAAUUAACAACUUCUUGACUUCCCUGGGCCCUGGGAUUCAGAGAUUGGAAACCUGUUCUCACUACAAACCAUUACAGUUUUAAAAAGAAAAUCACAAUGACAUAAUUAUAUUAGCUCUUGUCAGGAGGCCAGGUCCCCCAAUUCCUA
rnacentral:lncRNA from 10 species